AUAAUAAAACUUAUUAAUUGGAAUUGUAGUUUGAUAUAUAAGAUGAAAAAUCUUAAUAAUUGAAAGACUAGUAAGUGAAUAAAAGUUUGUUUUUGGUUAUAGUUUAUAAGUAUUGUAAGAGAAAGUUUUUUUUUAAAUAGAAAAAAAGAAGAAGUUAGUUAUCGUACCUUUUGUAUCAGGGGCUAUUAAAAUUAGUUUGUUAAUUUAAAAAAUUCCCGAAUUAAGAGGAUCUAAAAUUAUAUUAUUUUAUAUGUAUUAUAAUAUUGUUAAAUAUAAUUUUAGCGGUGAUAUGCCAUACGACUCUUAUAUAUCUGGUUCUUUACGAAAAAAAUUGAAUUUUGUAAUUAGUUAUAAUUAAAAACUAAUUAGUUAGUCUGUGGGGCACGAGCUCCGCAGAAAUUGAAGCAUUAAGAUAAGUGAGGAUUAAUAAAUUUUAACUGGGCUUAGAGUCAGCCGCGUUAAAGAUAACGUUAUAGUAAGUAGUAGAGUGUAAUUUAAUUUAAAUUAUCUUAUGGUUUUUUAGUAAAGUAUUUUUUAUACUAGUAAAAAAAAAGUAAUAAUGAUAGUAUUAGUAGAGUAAUUUGUGAAAAUAACAUUUUUCAAGAUAUAAAAAUAAAAUAAAAAAUUAGUUUUUGGUGUUUUAAAGGAACUCGGCAAAUAUAAGCUUCUGCCUGUUUAACAAAAACAUGUCUGUGUGGAACGGUAUACACAGUCUGGCCUGCCCACUGGGAAACUGAAGGGCCGCGGUAUAUUGACCGUGCGAAGGUAGCAUAAUCAAUAGUUCUUUAAUUGAGGACUGGAAUGAAGGGUCGGACGAGAAGUAAGCUGUCUCUAAAAUAAAUCUUGAAGUUUACUUUUAAGUGAAAAGGCUUAAAUAAGAUAAAGGGACGAUAAGACCCUAUAAAACUUUACAGAUUACAUCUAAAAUUUGUUUGAAAUUAUGUGUAAAUUCGUUUUAGUGUAGCUGUUUUGUUGGGGCGACAGAGAUAUAAUUAAUUAACUGUUUUUGGUGAUUAAAAUAAUACUAAUUAGUUAAUUUGAUCCAUUAAUAAGGAUUAAAAGAUUAAGUUACUUUAGGGAUAACAGCGUAAUUUCUCUUGAGAGUUCUAAUCGACAGAGUUAGUUGCGACCUCGAUGUUGAAUUAAGGUGUUAGCUAGGCGCAGAAGCUUAGAUAGUAGGUCUGUUCGACCUUUAAAACCUUACGUGAUUUGAGUUCAAACCGGUGUGAGCCAGGUUGGUUUCUAUCUUUUAUAGGAAAAAAUAAUUUCUUUAGUACGAAAGGAUUAAGAAAUUGUAAGAUUUACUAAGUAUAUUGACGAACAAUAAUAUGUAUAUAA
rnacentral:rRNA from 1 species